rnacentral:rRNA from 1 species
GUGGGGAAUAUUGGACAAUGGGCGAAAGCCUGAUCCAGCCAUGCCGCGUGUGUGAAGAAGGUCUUCGGAUUGUAAAGCACUUUAAGUUGGGAGGAAGGGUAGUAACCUAAUACGUUGCUACUUUGACGUUACCGACAGAAUAAGCACCGGCUAACUUCGUGCCAGCAGCCGCGGUAAUACGAAGGGUGCAAGCGUUAAUCGGAAUUACUGGGCGUAAAGCGCGCGUAGGUGGUUCAGUAAGUUGGAAGUGAAAUCCCCGGGCUCAACCUGGGAACUGCUUUCAAAACUGCUGAGCUAGAGUACGGUAGAGGGUGGUGGAAUUUCCUGUGUAGCGGUGAAAUGCGUAGAUAUUGGAAGGAACACCAGUGGCGAAGGCGACCACCUGGACUGAUACUGACACUGAGGUGCGAAAGCGUGGGGAGCAAACAGGAUUAGAAACCCCAGUAGUCC